GAUGAACGCUAGCUACAGGCUUAACACAUGCAAGUCGAGGGGUAACAAGAGAAAAGCUUGCUUUUCUUGUUGACGACCGGCGCACGGGUGAGUAACGCGUAUCCAACCUGCCUAUAACUAGGGAAUAACCUUGCGAAAGUAAGACUAAUACCCUAUGAUUUCCUUUGAUGACAUCAGAUUAGUAAUAAAGAUUUAUCGGUUAUAGAUGGGGAUGCGUCUGAUUAGCUUGUUGGCGGGGUAACGGCCCACCAAGGCAACGAUCAGUAGGGGUUCGGAGAGGAAGGUCCCCAACAUUGGAACUGAGACACGGUCCAAACUCCUACGGGAGGGAGCAGUGAGGAAUAUUGGUUAAUGGGCGAAAACCUGAACCAGCCAAGUAGCGUGAAGGAUGACGGCCCUAUGGGUUGUAAACUGCUUUUAUACAGGAAUAAAGUUAGCCACGUGUGGUUAUUUGUAGGUACUGUACGAAUAAGGACCGGCUAAUUCCGUGCCAGCCGCCGCCGUAA
rnacentral:rRNA from 1 species